rnacentral:rRNA from 1 species
UAGGGAGCGUAGAUGGAUGGUUAAGUCAGUUGUGAAAGUUUGCGGCUCAACCGUAAAAUUGCAGUUGAUACUGGAUGUCUUGAGUGCAGUUGAGGCAGGCGGAAUUCGUGGUGUAGCGGUGAAAUGCUUAGAUAUCACGAAGAACUCCGAUUGCGAAGGCAGCCUGCUGAACUGCAACUGACAUUGAUGCUCGAAAGUGUGGGUAUCAAACAGA